UUAAGCGACUAAGCGUACACGGUGGAUGCCCUGGCAGUCAGAGGCGAUGAAGGACGUGCUAAUCUGCGAUAAGCGUCGGUAAGGUGAUAUGAACCGUUAUAACCGGCGAUUUCCGAAUGGGGAAACCCAGUGUGAUUCGUCACACUAUCAUUAACUGAAUCCAUAGGUUAAUGAGGCGAACCGGGGGAACUGAAACAUCUAAGUACCCCGAGGAAAAGAAAUCAACCGAGAUUCCCCAGUAGCGGCGAGCGAACGGGGAGCAGCCCAGAGCCUGAAUCAGUGUGUGUGUUAGUGGAAGCGUCUGGAAAGGCGUGCGAUACAGGGUGACAGCCCCGUACACAAAAAUGCACAUAUUGUGAGCUCGAUGAGUAGGGCGGGACACGUGGUAUCCUGUCUGAAUAUGGGGGACCAUCCUCCAAGGCUAAAUACUCCUGACUGACCGAUAGUGAACCAGUACCGUGAGGGAAAGGCGAAAAGAACCCCGGCGAGGGGAGUGAAAAAGAACCUGAAACCGUGUACGUACAAGCAGUGGGAGCACGCUUAGGCGUGUGACUGCGUACCUUUUGUAUAAUGGGUCAGCGACUUAUAUUCUGUAGCAAGGUUAACCGAAUAGGGGAGCCGAAGGGAAACCGAGUCUUAACUGGGCGUUAAGUUGCAGGGUAUAGACCCGAAACCCGGUGAUCUAGCCAUGGGCAGGUUGAAGGUUGGGUAACACUAACUGGAGGACCGAACCGACUAAUGUUGAAAAAUUAGCGGAUGACUUGUGGCUGGGGGUGAAAGGCCAAUCAAACCGGGAGAUAGCUGGUUCUCCCCGAAAGCUAUUUAGGUAGCGCCUCGUGAAUUCAUCUCCGGGGGUAGAGCACUGUUUCGGCAAGGGGGUCAUCCCGACUUACCAACCCGAUGCAAACUGCGAAUACCGGAGAAUGUUAUCACGGGAGACACACGGCGGGUGCUAACGUCCGUCGUGAAGAGGGAAACAACCCAGACCGCCAGCUAAGGUCCCAAAGUCAUGGUUAAGUGGGAAACGAUGUGGGAAGGCCCAGACAGCCAGGAUGUUGGCUUAGAAGCAGCCAUCAUUUAAAGAAAGCGUAAUAGCUCACUGGUCGAGUCGGCCUGCGCGGAAGAUGUAACGGGGCUAAACCAUGCACCGAAGCUGCGGCAGCGACACUAUGUGUUGUUGGGUAGGGGAGCGUUCUGUAAGCCUGUGAAGGUGUACUGUGAGGUAUGCUGGAGGUAUCAGAAGUGCGAAUGCUGACAUAAGUAACGAUAAAGCGGGUGAAAAGCCCGCUCGCCGGAAGACCAAGGGUUCCUGUCCAACGUUAAUCGGGGCAGGGUGAGUCGACUCCUAAGGCGAGGCCGAAAGGCGUAGUCGAUGGGAAACAGGUUAAUAUUCCUGUACUUGGUGUUACUGCGAAGGGGGGACGGAGAAGGCUAUGUUGGCCGGGCGACGGUUGUCCCGGUUUAAGCGUGUAGGCUGGUUUUCCAGGCAAAUCCGGAAAACUAAGGCUGAGGCGUGAUGACGAGGCACUACGGUGCUGAAGCAACAAAUGCCCUGCUUCCAGGAAAAGCCUCUAAGCAUCAGGUAACAUCAAAUCGUACCCCAAACCGACACAGGUGGUCAGGUAGAGAAUACCAAGGCGCUUGAGAGAACUCGGGUGAAGGAACUAGGCAAAAUGGUGCCGUAACUUCGGGAGAAGGCACGCUGAUAUGUAGGUGAAGUCCCUCGCGGAUGGAGCUGAAAUCAGUCGAAGAUACCAGCUGGCUGCAACUGUUUAUUAAAAACACAGCACUGUGCAAACACGAAAGUGGACGUAUACGGUGUGACGCCUGCCCGGUGCCGGAAGGUUAAUUGAUGGGGUCAGCGCAAGCGAAGCUCUUGAUCGAAGCCCCGGUAAACGGCGGCCGUAACUAUAACGGUCCUAAGGUAGCGAAAUUCCUUGUCGGGUAAGUUCCGACCUGCACGAAUGGCGUAAUGAUGGCCAGGCUGUCUCCACCCGAGACUCAGUGAAAUUGAACUCGCUGUGAAGAUGCAGUGUACCCGCGGCAAGACGGAAAGACCCCGUGAACCUUUACUAUAGCUUGACACUGAACAUUGAGCCUUGAUGUGUAGGAUAGGUGGGAGGCUUUGAAGUGUGGACGCCAGUCUGCAUGGAGCCGACCUUGAAAUACCACCCUUUAAUGUUUGAUGUUCUAACGUUGACCCGUAAUCCGGGUUGCGGACAGUGUCUGGUGGGUAGUUUGACUGGGGCGGUCUCCUCCUAAAGAGUAACGGAGGAGCACGAAGGUUGGCUAAUCCUGGUCGGACAUCAGGAGGUUAGUGCAAUGGCAUAAGCCAGCUUGACUGCGAGCGUGACGGCGCGAGCAGGUGCGAAAGCAGGUCAUAGUGAUCCGGUGGUUCUGAAUGGAAGGGCCAUCGCUCAACGGAUAAAAGGUACUCCGGGGAUAACAGGCUGAUACCGCCCAAGAGUUCAUAUCGACGGCGGUGUUUGGCACCUCGAUGUCGGCUCAUCACAUCCUGGGGCUGAAGUAGGUCCCAAGGGUAUGGCUGUUCGCCAUUUAAAGUGGUACGCGAGCUGGGUUUAGAACGUCGUGAGACAGUUCGGUCCCUAUCUGCCGUGGGCGCUGGAGAACUGAGGGGGGCUGCUCCUAGUACGAGAGGACCGGAGUGGACGCAUCACUGGUGUUCGGGUUGUCAUGCCAAUGGCACUGCCCGGUAGCUAAAUGCGGAAGAGAUAAGUGCUGAAAGCAUCUAAGCACGAAACUUGCCCCGAGAUGAGUUCUCCCUGACUCCUUGAGAGUCCUGAAGGAACGUUGAAGACGACGACGUUGAUAGGCCGGGUGUGUAAGCGCAGCGAUGCGUUGAGCUAACCGGUACUAAUGAACCGUGAGGCUUAACCUU
rnacentral:rRNA from 1 species